UACGAAGGGGGCUAGCGUUGUUCGGAAUCACUGGGCGUAAAGGGCGCGUAGGCGGCUGUUCAAGUCGGGGGUGAAAUCCUGUGGCUCAACCACAGAAUGGCCUUCGAUACUGGACGGCUAGAGACCGGAAGAGGUGAGUGGAACUGCGAGUGUAGAGGUGAAAUUCGUAGAUAUUCGCAAGAACCCCAGUGGCGAAGGCGGCCCACUGGUCCGGUUCUGACGCUGAGGCGCGAAAGCGUGGGGAGCAAACAGG
rnacentral:rRNA from 1 species